GAUGAACGCUGGCGGCGUGCCUAAUACAUGCAAGUCGAGCGAACAGACGAGGAGCUUGCUCCUCUGACGUUAGCGGCGGACGGGUGAGUAAAACGUGGAUAACCUACCUAUAAGACUGGGAUAACUUCGGGAAACCGGAGCUAAUACCGGAUAAUAUAUUGAACCGCAUGGUUCAAUAGUGAAAGACGGCUUUGCUGUCACUUAUAGAUGGAUCCGCGCCGCAUUAGCUAGUUGGUAAGGUAACGGCUUACCAAGGCAACGAUGCGUAGCCGACCUGAGAGGGUGAUCGGCCACACUGGAACUGAGACACGGUCCAGACUCCUACGGGAGGCAGCAGUAGGGAAUCUUCCGCAAUGGGCGAAAGCCUGACGGAGCAACGCCGCGUGAGUGAUGAAGGUCUUCGGAUCGUAAAACUCUGUUAUUAGGGAAGAACAAAUGUGUAAGUAACUAUGCACGUCUUGACGGUACCUAAUCAGAAAGCCACGGCUAACUACGUG
rnacentral:rRNA from 1 species